GGGACCAUGGCGCAGUUGGUUAGCGCGCAGGUCUCAUAUCGUCUAGAUGUGAUCAGAUCAACCAGAUCUGGGUCAUCCUGAGGUCGUGAGUUCGAAACUCACUGGUCCCA